rnacentral:rRNA from 1 species
ACCCGGAGGAAGGUGGGGAUGACGUCAAAUCAUCAUGCCCCUUAUGACCUGGGCUACACACGUGCUACAAUGGAUGGUACAACGAGUCGCAAACUCGCGAGGGUAAGCUAAUCUCUUAAAGCCAUUCUCAGUUCGGAUUGUAGUCUGCAACUCGACUACAUGAAGUCGGAAUCGCUAGUAAUCGCGGAUCAGCACGCCGCGGUGAAUACGUUCCCGGGCCUUGUACACACCGCCCGUCACACCAUGAGAGUUUGUAACACCCAAAGUCGGUGGGGUAACCUUCGGGAGCCAGCCGCCUAAGGUGGGAUAGAUGAUUAGGGUGAAGUCGUAACAAGGUAACCAAGGGCGAAUUCUG